UACGUAGGGGGCUAGCGUUGUCCGGAUUUAUUGGGCGUAAAGAGCUCGUAGGCGGUUCGGUAAGUCGGGGGUGAAAUCUCCACGCUCAACGUGGAGGGGCCACCCGAUACUGCCAUGACUCGAGUCCGGUAGGGGAGUGUGGAAUUCCCGGUGUAGCGGUGAAAUGCGCAGAUAUCGGGAGGAACACCCGUAGCGAAGGCGGCACUCUGGGCCGGUACUGACGCUGAGGAGCGAAAGCGUGGGUAGCAAACAGG
rnacentral:rRNA from 1 species